CAGCAAACACAGAACGUUGUGAGGACGUUGCCAGUUAGUCGUCAUUUGGUCAGCGCGACAUUACUUUAUGGCAACGUUGUGAGGACGUCGUGGUAAAGUUCCAUUUUUUUAAAUCUUGGCUAACUUCCCAGAAACGUCGUGGGCACGUACUCAAAAGACGUCGCUAGUUAGUCCCAUUGGGGACGUUGUAGCGACGUGGUCAGCUGGUCUUCAGAUAACUUUUAAUAUUAUUGCACUAGAUGUAUUAUUAUUAUUAAGAUACCAUUUGAACAGCAUAUUCUUUGGGAAAUAUACAAAAAAAUUAAUCAAGCAUGUUAAAAUAAUUAUAUAUAUAUAUAUAUAUAUAUAUAUAUAUAUAUAUAUAUAUAUAUAUAUAUGCCAUCAGUUUAAGAACAAUAAAAUAAACAAUUUACUUAGCAAAUGGUGAUAAUGUUUGUUAAUGAAAGAGAGUACGGGACAAAUUAACAUUUAAACCUUAAACUAGCAGCGCACGUCACUUUCUGAGUGAAGUGCGCGACGUGCGCGUGCCCGUCAUUUUGUAACGGUCAACUUCCAGCAGACGGACACGGAGCAAAGGGCCUGACAACCACCAGUUGAGUCCAUGAUUCAGGGAAGAGACAGUCUGGGCAGCAGCAACAAGACAACUAUUACAAGUAGAGAUGGGUUUCAAGAACUGGUACUAAUUUGGUUCCUGACUUGUUCGACACAACCACAUAUCCUCCAAAUCAUCUCUGCGUGGAUGGCAGCAAGGAUCCAGGAUCAAGAGAUCAUUCUUCAUGGAGACUGUUCCACAGGAAGCAGUUUCUCCUGGGUCAUCCUGACCAUUCUGCUGUCCUGGAUAUUUGAGGGAAAGAUUAAAAACAAGGAGGUCUGGGAAUGACUGAAGGGAACUGACAGCAGUGAGGGAAGGAAGUUAUCACCAGAAUCUCAGAGAAGGAUGUUGACAGUGCAGGUCCAGGAUGAAGAAGAGGAGGAAGAACACGUUUAACAAUUUUCUCAUAAGCUUGCCAUGUGUUAUAAUAAAAACAAUGAACAUGGCUACAAUAAUAUGCUAAAUGUUAUUAAAAGAUUCCAGUUUGCAAGAAGUCUGAGUGUCUGACUCUACACUAGAGGAACUCUUUUCUGAAGAAGAUCAGGUGCUGAGAAGAAGCCUUGUUCUACAGCACAACACUGCAAGCAUCCUGUCCUUCCCUCAGAAGAGCCUGUCUUCUGCUGCUGGGGUAAGAAACACCCUCUUCCUCUUCUCUAUCAGCUGUCCAGCACCUAACUCUGCCUCCUCAGCACUGUCUGAAAGAGUCUUCUCCACAGUCAGUAAUCACAGAUCCUUCUGAGAAAGUCGAUAUGCUCAUUUUCUUAAAAAACUUUGUUUUUUCGGGUGGGACAAAUAAUACAGGAGAGAUGCUAGAAAUCUCUAUAUUGUUCAUUUUUCAUAUCUUUACGCUUUAUGAAUGUUUUUCUUCUGAGAAGCUCAAAAAUUAUGGUUCUUUGGUAAUUGUUAUAUUGUUUAGUUUUAUCCUCUGAUAGUGAGCACAGAGCCCUGAUCAUGACAUGCAAGAAAAAGAAAGAAAUCAUGUCCAUGAUUUACUAAUUCGUUCCCUCUAUGUACUAAACGUGCACGAUUACUUUUACAUUUCAUUGAUUUGCUAAAUCGUAUGCACAAUUUACUAAUUCGUUCUCUUGAUGUAUAAAUAGUGUACACGUUUUAGCAAAUCGAGGGAAUGAAAUAGAAAAUCGUGCGCAUGAAUUAGCCUAAAUUUUUUCCUGCAUGUCGUGUAAUUAAAGCACAUCACCAUCAGACAUUUAUACCAGGAGCCUCAUAUAUGACGCUCACAGUUUUACUUUGUGCAGUAUCUCGGUGCAGUAUCUGCUGAAUUGUUUCAUAUCUAUUUAUCAUGUAUUUUUUGUUGCACUAAAUUAUGUUGUAUCAAUAAGUUUAAUGAUAAUUAUUUUUAAUUUUCACUAAUAACGUCAUUAACCAUCUCCCCAUCUUUAAGACAAAAAAUUUCUAUUGUUUAUAUUGUGUAAUCUAUGAAUUGAUGUGUUUAGUUUUCUGUGCUCAUAACUUAGUAACAUUUUGCAUGUUUAAAGAACAGGUGCGAUGUUCAAAAUGUUUUGGCUUCGUAUUUGUACAAAGUAGUGCUGAAUAAAUAUUGAUUUGUGAAUGA